rnacentral:rRNA from 1 species
UGGGGAAUAUUGGACAAUGGGGGCAACCCUGAUCCAGCAAUGCCGCGUGUGUGAAGAAGGUUUUCGGAUUGUAAAGCACUUUCGACGGGGACGAUGAUGACGGUACCCGUAGAAGAAGCCCCGGCUAACUUCGUGCCAGCAGCCGCGGUAAUACGAAGGGGGCUAGCGUUGCUCGGAAUGACUGGGCGUAAAGGGCGUGUAGGCGGUUUGUACAGUCAGAUGUGAAAUCCCCGGGCUUAACCUGGGAGCUGCAUUUGAUACGUGUAGACUAGAGUGUGAGAGAGGGUUGUGGAAUUCCCAGUGUAGAGGUGAAAUUCGUAGAUAUUGGGAAGAACACCGGUGGCGAAGGCGGCAACCUGGCUCAUAACUGACGCUGAGGCGCGAAAGCGUGGGGAGCAAACAG